GGAGGUGCAAGACCUCGNCNNCGCACUGGCUGAGUAACACGUAUUACCUUGGGNNCCCUGAGGUGGGGAAUCUCGNCGAAUAGGCUAANUACCCCAAUAGGCUAUGGAUACUGGAAUGUCCAUAAUUCANAAACCCACGGGGCCUCAGGAUGGGGACUGGCGGCGUAUCAGGUAGAGUUCAGGGUAAACACCUGGAAUUUGCCGAUAACGCGGUUAGGGGCNUAUGNNAGCAGUAGGAGCCUCCAGAUGCCUUCUGAGACAUGAAGGCAGGGCCUACGGGUCGCAGCAGGCGCGAAAACUUUCCAAUGCAUUAGCGUGUGAGAAGGGUAGCUUGAGUGGUGCAACUAAGUUGCACCUUUUGCCAUGUCUAGAAAGCAUGGCGAAUAAAGGGUGGGUAAGACGGGUGCCAGCCGCCGCGGUA
rnacentral:rRNA from 1 species